rnacentral:rRNA from 1 species
GAUCUGGUUGGGUGGUCAUGCCUCUGGUACGUACUGGUAUUAUUGAUUUCUCCCUUCUGACGAACCAUGAUGUCAUUAAUUUGGUGUUAUGGGAAAUCAGGACUGUUACUUUGAAAAAAUUAGAGUGUUUAAAGCAGGCUCACGCUUGAAUACAUUAGCAUGGAAUAAUGAAAUAGGACGUUCGAUCCUAUUUUGUUGGUUUUAGGAUCAACGUA